GAUGAACGCUGGCGGCGUGCCUAAUACAUGCAAGUCGAGCGAACGGACGAGAAGCUUGCUUCUCUGAUGUUAGCGGCGGACGGGUGAGUAACACGUGGAUAACCUACCUAUAAGACUGGGAUAACUUCGGGAAACCGUAGCUAAUACCGGAUAAUAUUUUGAACCGCAUGGUUCAAAAGUGAAAGACGGUCUUGCUGUCACUUAUAGAUGGAUCCGCGCUGCAUUAGCUAGUUGGUAAGGUAACGGCUUACCAAGGCAACGAUGCAUAGCCGACCUGAGAGGGUGAUCGGCAACACUGGAACUGAGACACGGUCCAGACUCCUACGGGAGGCAGCAGUAGGGAAUCUUCCGCAAUGGGCGAAAGCCUGACGGAGCAACGCCGCGUGAGUGAUGAAGAUCUUCGGAUCGUAAAACUCUGUUAUUAGGGAAGAACAUAUGUGUAAGUAACUGUGCACAUCUUGACGGUACCUAAUCAGAAAGCCACGGCUAACUACGUG
rnacentral:rRNA from 1 species